CAUUAAGAAGCUAUUGCAGCAUUAACCUUUUAAGUUAAAGAAGAGGUUCUAUUUUCCUCCUUGAUGA
rnacentral:tRNA from 1 species